GGCCACACUAACAACGGAUUUUCAAUGCACACAAAACAGCCUUCUAUUAGAAGCAGAUGCCAUCCAGAACUCUCAUAGCUAGAAAGAAGCCAAUGCCUGGCUCCAAAGCUUCAAAGGACAGGGUGACUCUCUUGUUAGGGGCUCAUGCAGCUAGCGACUUCAAAUUAAAGCCAAUGCUCAUUCACCAAUUACAACAAUUCUAAGGCCCUUAGGAAUUAUGUUCAAUCUACUCUACCUGUGCUGUAUAAAUGAAACAACAAAGCCUACAUGACAGCACAUCUGUUUACUGCAUGGUUUACUAUUUUAAGUCCAUUAAAAUAUUAAAAUAGCCAUUAACACAACAUUCAAGUCUUAUUAACUUUCAAGUUAACUUCCAUAAUUAACUUUCAAGUCUUAUUAUUUAAGACAUUUCAUAAGGCUACAGCUGCCUUAGACAAUGAUUCCUCUGAUGGAUCUGGGAGAAAAUUUUUAAAAACCUGCUGGAAAGGAUUCACCAUUCUAGAUGCCUUAAGAACAUUCAUGAUUCAUGGGAGGAGGUCAAAACAGCAACAUGAACAGGAGUUUGGAAGAUGUUGAUUCCAGCCCUCAUGGAUGACUCUGAGCGAUCCCGGACUUCAGGGGAGGAAGUCACUGCAGAUGUGGUGGAAACAGCAAGAGAACGAGAAUUGGAAGUGGAGCCUGGAGAUGGGACUGAAUUGCUGCAGUCUCAUGAGAAAACAUGAAUGGAUGACAAGUUGCUUCUUAUGGAUGAACAAAGGAAGUGUUUUCUUGAGAUGGAAUCUACUUCUGGUGAAGAUGCUGUGCACACGGUUGAAAUGACAACAAAGGAUUUAGAAUUGACAUCAACUUAGUUGAUAAAGCAGUGGCAGGGUUUGAGAAGAGUGACUCUAAUUUUUAAAGAUGUUAUGUGGGUAAACUGCUAUCAAACAGCAACACAUGCUACAGAGAAGUCUUUUGAAUGGAAGUCAAUUGAUGUGACAAACUUCAUUGUCUUAUUUUAAGAAAUUGCCACAGCAACCCCAAACUCCAGCAGCCACCACCCUAAUUAGUCAGCAGCCACCAACAUUGAGGCAAGACCCUCCCCCAGCAAAAAGAUGGCAAUUCACUGAACACUCAGAUGAUCAUUAGCAUUUUUUAGCAACAAAGUAUUUUAAAAUUAAGGUACAUACAUUGGCUUUUUUAGACAUAAUGCUACUGCAUACUUAGUAGACUACAUUACAGCCUAUAAAAGCAUUUUAUAUGCACUUGGAAACCAAACAUUUCAUGGGACUUGCUUUAUUGCAGUAUUUGCUGUAUUGCAAUGGUCUAGAAGCAAACCCAUGGUUUCUCCAAGGUAUGCCUUUUAGUUUGACCCCAGACUGCACUCCAAAGCAGCGGCCUUAUUCUACACUCCUCACAGCACCUCUGGGCUCACCUAAUGUGCCAUCAUCACUCAGACUUCAACAUCACCUAGUGCUGCAGUUCCCACCACCCGCCCGAACCACCCCCGCCCCAACCCACCCCGAGCUAAAGCAGUAUCUCAUUAUGGUUUUAAUUAUGAUUCUCCAGUUACUAAAUAGUUUAAGCAUCUCCUUAUAUUUUGCUGCUGUCAACCUCAUGAAAUAAUAGCUACUCAGUUAGGUAAUGUAGAAGGUAAAAUGGCCCCAAGCAUUUUUAUCUCCUCUCUUUGGCCACAGGAUCCUGAAACUGAAAACGACCUUUGGGUCCCAACUAUCCACGGCUUUCCCACAAAGCUCUGAAAAUAAGAGUUGAGAAAAAAGUAUUGAGCUACUGGACAAAUACAUCAGUGUCUUGAGAAUGUGUCCCCUACCUUCCAGCAAACAAACUGUUGCUUUUCUAUGCAGUGCCUGGCCUCAGUUUCCUUCCACAUGUCACCCACAGCCAGCCUCGGAGAUCCUCCUGCCUAGGGCUGCCCUUGACCAGAGAGAUCUGGUUGCAGCAAAGCCACAGGGACACCAGUGGCUCCUCAGAGCUUGCGUGGUCAAGGGCUGAGGAAGGGCGUCUGUUUCAAGCCAUUUCUAUAAAACACCCUGUGGGAGCAGACCUGAAGGAGAGGGGCAACCGCCACACAGGUAUGGGGGAGAAAUGUUCCCUGGAGAUCAGAGGCCGAGGCAGGGCCCACCUGGCUUGCUGCUCUUGCUUAGUUUUUAUUUUCAUUGUUUUAAUAAAUUUCAUUGUGUAUAUUUAAGGUAUGCAACGUGAUGUUACAAAGUACAAACAGAUAGCAAAAUGGUCACUACAGGGGAGCAAUUAACAUUCCCAUCACCUCCCAGAGUCAACCACUUUUAGGAUUUUGUGGCAAGAGCAGCUGAAGUCUAGUCAUUUAGCAGGAACUCCCAAAACAGUGCAAUUUUAUUACCUACAUUCCUCCUGUUGUACAUCGGAUCACCAGACUGGUUCAUCCUACAUAUUUUAAAGUAGAAACCCAUCUACCUGCUGGGUUGAGAAUGCAUUGUUGGAGCAGCGGGAGGAGAUGAGGUCCCCAGGUCUCCUGGGCAGAAGAGGACAGUGCCAGUGGGCCACGGUGGGGGACUGGCGGGGAGCAGGUAAGAUGAGGUCAAGGUCUUUGGCUACAGGAAGAGCCUGCAGGAUUCCUUUGCAGACCUAUUGUGGACUGUUAGAGAAAACAACUCAGAGACAGCUCUGAGAUGUCUGAGGACUGCAGGGAUUGGGCCCCUGGGCAAGUCUGGGAUGGAGGCAGUGGUUGGACCUGGAAGAGGGUUUGGGAGAGAGACCCACGUCAGAGAGGCAAGUGUGAGGUGGGUUUAGCCAGAGCCCCCUCAGCCCUG
rnacentral:lncRNA from 1 species